CUCGGGUCGGGCUCGGUAUCGGUCGUCGGGUGUAUUUUGUAACCUGUGGAAGCCAGUGAACUGUAGGAGGAUACAAAGGACCCUGGCUCACAUUUGCAGACAUUUUGCAAGAUGACUGAAAAAGGUCAUGAUGUCUGAUGCUGGAAACAGGGUGAAUGAAAGCACAACCUCUCCCUCUGAAUUGUGACAAAGGAAAGAGUGGGAAGGAAGAGAAGUGUCUUAACAACUGUCAUUGCCAAAGAUUGUUUAAAAGCUGUAAAAGCCUUCAUUUGCCUUCAGGAGUUGUGACAUAUGGUCAGAAAUGGUUUGAAGAUUUAUUGUCAUCUUUGCUGGAUGAGAUUCAAAGUGUUCUUUAAUAAGGAUCUUGUCCCUCAUCGUCCUUGGAAAAAACCUUCAGAAAUUGUAAAACAUACAGAAAGCAGAUA